rnacentral:rRNA from 1 species
UACGUAGGGACCGAGCGUUGUCCGGAAUCAUUGGGCGUAAAGCGCGCGUAGGUGGCUUCAUAAGUCCGUUGUGAAAGUCAAAGGCUCAACCUUUGAAAGCCGAUGGAUACUGUGGAGCUAGAGUACGGAAGAGGCGAGUGGAAUUCCUGGUGUAGCGGUGGAAUGCGCAGAUAUCAGGAGGAACACCAAUAGCGAAGGCAGCUCGCUGGGACGUUACUGACACUGAGGCGCGAAAGCGUGGGGAGCGAACAGG